UACAGAGGGUGCAAGCGUUGUUCGGAAUUAUUGGGCGUAAAGGGCGCGUAGGCGGUGCCACAAGUCACCUGUGAAAUCUCCGGGCUUAACUCGGAGCCUGCAGGCGAAACUGUGGUGCUGGAGUGUGGGAGAGGUGCGUGGAAUUCCGGGUGUAGUGGUGGAAUACGUAGAUAUCCGGAGGAACACCAGCGGCGAAGGCGGCUUUCUGGUCCGAUUCUGACGCUGAGGCGCGAAAGCGUGGGGAGCGAUCCGG
rnacentral:rRNA from 1 species